AAAUAAUCAGAUCCAAACCCUCCAAGUUACUUUUAAAUUUCAUGUACUCACAAGGAUUUUCAUAUCAGAGCAUAUCCUUUAUGGUGAUUUGUACAUCUCCACUCAAGCUUUCCCAUUCUACAGGUUUGGCAUUAGUUAAAUGCUCUGGGUUAUACUACUGAUGAUGAAGGGAAGCAGAUUUUGUUUGCUGUCAAUAUUCUCUGCACUGGAAUGUAUGAUGGAGAGGGGGUAAAUUACAUGCUCUCUGAUACUAGUCUGUAAAGGCAGAAAAUACAUAAUGAGCAAAAGCGGGUGGAGUAUUCCCUAUUGUAAGCCUUGGGACACUGGAAUUUAGAGAUAUAUCACUCAGAAACAUCUCCCUUUCUCAGGGGUUGUGUUGUUGCACCAGAUGAGAGGGCCAAGACUACAGAGAGACCUUCCUGAUCUGCAUCCUCACCCCCUUACAAUAAGUCAAGCUCCAGGGAAGCUGGAUUCUGUAUGUUAGCAGAAGAUACAGUUGAGCUCAGACUUGGCAUCCCAAGUAGUUAUUGGCCAACAGUUUUAAUCUAAAGGCUGCUGGCCCAGAUCUUUCUUCAUGAGGCUGGAUUGACUACUAUGCAAGCCUUUCCUGGCAGAAAUUUGACUAUUAUGUUCCUGGAAACCAUCAGUGACAAAGAUGCCACAGCCAUCUAUGAUCUGCUGUGCUGCACCGACCACGGUUGGUAAGGCCGAGAGAGAUACUUCACCCAGCCUACAACAUUUUGACAAGCAAGAAAAGCCACUGGGAACCUGUAACUUCUCCUCUUCAUACUAGAGCAAAGCAUGUCCUGGAUUUCCUGCUCUGGUAGGCUGCAAAAACCAUGGUUUUGGUGAGGACUUUAGCUCAAGUCCACAAUAAAGGGGUAGAAAAUGGUUUUGCA
rnacentral:lncRNA from 1 species